UACGUAGGGGGCAAGCGUUGUCCGGAAUCAUUGGGCGUAAAGAGCGUGUAGGCGGCCAGAUAAGUCCGCUGUGAAACUCGAGGCUCAACUUCGAGCUGUCGGUGGAAACUAUUUGGCUAGAGUCCGGAAGAGGAGAGUGGAAUUCCUGGUGUAGCAGUGAAAUGCGCAGAUAUCAGGAAGAACACCCGUGGCGAAGGCGGCUCUCUGGUACGGAACUGACGCUGAGACGCGAAAGCGUGGGGAGCGAACAGG
rnacentral:rRNA from 1 species